rnacentral:rRNA from 1 species
CUACGUGCCAGCAGCCGCGGUAAUACGUAGGGCGCGAGCGUUGUCCGGAAUUAUUGGGCGUAAAGAGCUUGUAGGCGGUUUGUCGCGUCUGCUGUGAAAGGCCGGGGCUUAACCCCGUGUAUUGCAGUGGGUACGGGCAGACUAGAGUGCAGUAGGGGAGACUGGAACUCCUGGUGUAGCGGUGGAAUGCGCAGAUAUCAGGAAGAACACCGAUGGCGAAGGCAGGUCUCUGGGCUGUAACUGGCGCUGAGAAGCGAAAGCAUGGGGAGCGAACAGGAUUAGAUACCCUGGUAGUCCAUGCCGUAAACGUUGGGCACUAGGUGUGGGGGACAUUCCACGUUUUCCGCGCCGUAGCUAACGCAUUAAGUGCCCCGCCUGGGGAGUACGGCCGCAAGGCUAAAACUCAAAGAAAUUGACGGGGGCCCGCACAAGCGGCGGAGCAUGCGGAUUAAUUCGAUGCAACGCGAAGAACCUUACCAAGGCUUGACAU